CACACACACACACACCUCCAGGCAAGCAAGAGGCAUUAUAGACCAGGUAGAUGAGCUUAGAUUAACCCCCCAGGUAUGAGAUCCUACACCUUUCAUUUAGGUGAUGAACUGAAUUGGGCCAAGAAGUGGAGCAAUGCCUUGUGGAAUCCCAGGAACUAAAUGACUUGAUGAGCAGAAUUUCUAGCAACUUGAGUUUUCAGGCAUAGCUCCUUGGUCUUCCUCAUAACCAGCAAAAUAACAAUGCAACAUAA